CAGCCGCCGCGGGAAUACGUAGGUGGCAAGCGUUGUCCGGAAUUAUUGGGCGUAAAGGGCUCGCAGGCGGUUUCUUAAGUCUGAUGUGAAAGUCCCCGGCUCAACCGGGGAGGGUCAUUGGAAACUGGGAAACUUGAGUGCAGAAGAGGAGAGUGGAAUUCCACGUGUAGCGGUGAAAUGCGUAGAGAUGUGGAGGAACACCAGUGGCGAAGGCGACUCUCUGGUCUGUAACUGACGCUGAGGAGCGAAAGCGUGGGGAGCGAACAGGAUUAGAUACCCCAGUAGUCCCUGUCUCUUAUAC
rnacentral:rRNA from 1 species